rnacentral:rRNA from 1 species
AGAGUUUGAUCCUGGCUCAAGAUAAACUCUAGCUACAGGCUUAACACAUGCAAGUCGAGGGGCAGCAUGGUCUUAUCUUGCUAAGGCCGAUGGCGACCGGCGCACGGGUGAGUAACACGUAUCCAACCUGCCGUCUACUCUUGGACAGCCUUCUGAAAGGAAGAUUAAUACAAGAUGGCAUCAUGAGUCCACAUGUUCACAUGAUUAAAGGUAUUCCGGUAGACGAUGGGGAUGCGUUCCAUUAGAUAGUAGGCGGGGUAACGGCCCACCUAGUCUUCGAUGGGUAGGGGUUCUGAGAGGAAGGUCCCCCACAUUGGAACUGAGACACGGUCCAAACUCCUACGGGAGGCAGCAGUGAGGAAUAUUGGUCAAUGGGCGAGAGCCUGAACCAGCCAAGUAGCGUGAAGGAUGACUGCCCUAUGGGUUGUAAACUUCUUUUAUAAAGGAAUAAAGUCGGGUAUGGAUACCCGUUUGCAUGUACUUUAUGAAUAAGGAUCGGCUAACUCCGUGCCACCAGCCGCGGUAAUACGGAGGAUCCGAGCGUUAUCCGGAUUUAUUGGGUUUAAAGGGAGCGUAGAUGGAUGUUUAAGUCAGUUGUGAAAGUUUGCGGCUCAACCGUAAAAUUGCAGUUGAUAACUGGAUAUCUUGAGUGCAGUUGAGGCAGGCGGAAUUCGUGGUGUACCGGUGAAAUGCUUAGAUAUCACGAAGAACUCCGAUUGCGAAGGCAGCCUGCUAAGCUGCAACUGACAUUGAGGCUCGAAAGUGUGGGUAUCAAACAGGAUUAGAUACCCUGGUAGUCCACACGGUAAACGAUGAAUACUCGCUGUUUGCGAUAUACUGCAAGCGGCCAAGCGAAAGCGUUAAGUAUUCCACCUGGGGAGUACGCCGGCAACGGUGAAACUCAAAGGAAUUGACGGGGGCCCGCACAAGCGGAGGAACAUGUGGUUUAAUUCGAUGAUACGCGAGGAACCUUACCCGGGCUUAAAUUGCAGAUGAAUUACGGUGAAAGCCGUAAGCCGCAAGGCAUCUGUGAAGGUGCUGCAUGGUUGUCGUCAGCUCGUGCCGUGAGGUGUCGGCUUAAGUGCCAUAACGAGCGCAACCCUUGUUGUCAGUUACUAACAGGUUCUGCUGAGGACUCUGACAAGACUGCCAUCGUAAGAUGUGAGGAAGGUGGGGAUGACGUCAAAUCAGCACGGCCCUUACGUCCGGGGCUACACACGUGUUACAAUGGGGGGUACAGAGGGCCGCUACCACGCGAGUGGAUGCCAAUCCCAAAAACCUCUCUCAGUUCGGACUGGAGUCUGCAACCCGACUCCACGAAGCUGGAUUCGCUAGUAAUCGCGCAUCAGCCACGGCGCGGUGAAUACGUUCCCGGGCCUUGCAC